UCAACACCUUUGCUUUUGAAUAAGAAUACAAAUCGAACCUCCCAUCUACAUAGGAACCUCUUUCUGUGCUAGAAUUUUUGGUCUUAAAUAGAUAUAAAUAUAUUUAUAAUGGCUGGAGACCAUUGCAAGGGUAUACGGAAAUCGAAUUCGACUAAUCCGACAGAUAGAAAACAUUUGCAUGACCUUGGCCAUGACCUCAAGUGUACAUACAUAUGUACAAACAAUUGCUAUUAUAAUCGUAAUACCAUAACUCGAAUGCCAGUUCUUAUAAAAACCUCUGUGCUGCUGAGCGUGACCCUCGGUAGUGCGGUGAUUUAAAUAUAUAAUUUCAUCAUCAAUGCGUUCCACUGUUUCAAUCAGAAGCGGUCGCUCUGCUCUCGUCUCUGUUUGUGGGACAUGGGCCCGACCCAUUUGUUUUAGCGAUUUGCACGCCAAGCGAAAUAAUCAGACGCUCUCCCUUUCUCAGUAUGAAAACACGAGACACUUGAAUUCUUCUUUCGUUUCAUUUCAAUUGAUUGUGACAUUAAUUGUUGGUUAUUCUUUAUCGUUGCCGUCGAUAGCUGGCUUCAAAGGCGUCGAUUCCAGAUAGUGCCUAAUCUGUGGACCUUAAAUUUCGUAUCUCAUGUCGGAGAUUACAAUCGUAUAUAGUAAAUAUAAUUUCGUAUAUCAAA